rnacentral:rRNA from 1 species
UUUGGAGGCUACUGGCAGGCCUAUAACUGCAAGUCGAGGGGCAGCAUAAUUAUUCGCAAGAAUAAUGGUGGCGACCGGCGCACGGGUGCGUAACGCGUAUGCAACCUACCUUUUACUGGGGUAUAGCCCGGAGAAAUCCGGAUUAAUCCCCCAUAGUACUGACAAUUCGCAUGAUGAGUCAGUUAAAGUUUCGGCGGUAAAAGAUGGGCAUGCGUCCUAUUAGCUAGAUGGUAAGGUAACGGCUUACCAUGGCUACGAUAGGUAGGGGGCCUGAGAGGGUGGUCCCCCACACUGGUACUGAGACACGGACCAGACUCCUACGGGAGGCAGCAGUGAGGAAUAUUGGUCAAUGGGCGCAAGCCUGAACCAGCCAUGCCGCGUGCAGGAAGAAUGUCCUAUGGAUUGUAAACUGCUUUUAUUUGGGAAUAAACCCCCCGACGUGUCGGGGUCUGAAGGUAC